GAUGAACGCUAGCGGCAGGCUUAAUACAUGCAAGUCGAGGGGCAGCAUGACUGUAGCAAUACAGUUGAUGGCGACCGGCAAACGGGUGCGGAACACGUACACAACCUUCCUUUUAGUGGGGAAUAGCCCAGAGAAAUUUGGAUUAAUACCCCAUAAGAUAAUGAGAUGGCAUCAUCUUAUUAUUAAAGCUUCGGCGCUAGAAGAUGGGUGUGCGGCUGAUUAGGUAGUUGGCGGGGUAACGGCCCACCAAGCCUACGAUCAGUAGCUGAUGUGAGAGCAUGAUCAGCCACACGGGCACUGAGACACGGGCCCGACUCCUACGGGAGGCAGCAGUAAGGAAUAUUGGACAAUGGACGCAAGUCUGAUCCAGCCAUGCCGCGUGAAGGAUUAAGGUCCUCUGGAUUGUAAACUUCUUUUAUUUGGGACGAAAAAAGAUCAUUCUUGAUCACUUGACGGUACCAGAUGAAUAAGCACCGGCUAACUCCGUGCCAGCAGCCGCGGUAAAAC
rnacentral:rRNA from 1 species